rnacentral:lncRNA from 1 species
UCCCCACCAAUCUGAAGCAGCUGGCUUGAUAGAAUGAUGGAAUGUUCUUUUGAAGACUGAAUUACAGCACCAGCUAGCUUUAAUUUCUGUCAGCCUAGAGGUCUUAGUUCCACAGAAACAAAUGCUUCUACCAGGAGACACAACAAUGAUUUCAUUGUGUUGGAUGUUAAGACUGCCACCUGGCCAUUUUGGGUUCCUCAUGCCUUUGAGUCAACAGGCAAGAAGAAAGAUGUGGUGUUGGCUGGGAUUAUUAAUCCUGAUGACGAAGGGGAAAUUGAACUAAUCCUCCUCAAUAAAGGGAGAAACAGAAAUAAUGAAGGAUGAAAAUUUGGAGAGGCACUGUUUUUAGUAAUAGUCUUACAUAUGAGUAAUAGCCAUUGGCAGUGGAGCAAGAUGGUGGAACAGAAGCUUACAACCUUUAUCUCCCUGUAGGAACACAAAAUUCUAACAACUAUCUAAACAGUAAAGUCACAAGAACUAAAAAUCAGGCAUUUUGCCAGUUGUGGAAAGAAUGGUGAACAGGACGGAUAACAGACCAUGUUCUCAUGGCGCUUAUGCAGGAAAAAAAAUAUCAGAUUGGCUCCCAAGCCUCUUAUUAGUCAUUAUUAAUGCCUGGAACCUGUGGAUCAAUGCCUGAAAUGACUUUGGGAAAGAAAAUGAAGAAAAUGUGCCUGAAGAGGUCUAUACCCAGCCAAACUGCCCUUCUAUAUAUGGAAAACAAAUAAUUUUGAACAUGCAAGUAUUGUUUCUACUAACAAUACUGUUAGUAGACAAUAUUGUUUCUACUAACAAUACUGUUAGUA